GUGCCAGCAGCCGCGGUAAUUCCAGCUCCAAUAGCGUAUAUUAAAGUUGUUGUGGUUAAAAAGCUCGUAGUUGAACCUUGGGCCUGGCUGGCCGGUCCGCCUCACCGCGUGCACUGGUCCGGCCGGGCCUUUCCCUCUGUGGAACCCCAUACCCUUCACUGGGCGUGGCGGGGAAACAGGACAUUUACUUUGAAAAAAUUAGAGUGCUCCAGGCAGGCCUAUGCUCGAAUACAUUAGCAUGGAAUAAUAAAAUAGGACGCGCGGUUCUAUUUUGUUGGUUUAUAGGACCGCCGUAAUGAUUAAUAGGGACAGUCGGGGGCAUCAGUAUUCAACUGUCAGAGGUGAAAUUCUUGGAUCAGUUGAAGACUAACUACUGCGAAAGCAUUUGCCAAGGAUGUUUUCAUUAAUCAGGAACGAAAGUUAGGGGAUCGAAGACGAUCAGAUACCGUCGUAGUCUUAACCAUAAACUAUGCCGACUAGGGAUCGGACGGUGUUAUUCAUGACCCGUUCGGCACCUUACGAGAAAUCAAAGUGCUUGGGCUCCAGGGGGAGUAUGGUCGCAAGGCUGAAACUUAAAGAAAUUGACGGAAGGGCACCACCAGGGGUGGAGCCUGCGGCUUAAUUUGACUCAACACGGGGAAACUCACCAGGUCCAGACACAAUAAGGAUUGACAGAUUGAGAGCUCUUUCUUGAUUUUGUGGGUGGUGGUGCAUGGCCGUUCUUAGUUGGUGGGGGUGACUUGUCUGCUUAAUUGCGAUAACGAACGAGACCUUAACCUGCUAAAUAGCCCGCAUGCUCCGGCAGUGCGGCUGGCUUCUAGAGGGACUUCGGCUCAGCCGAAGGAAGUUGAGCAAUACAGUCUGUGGAUGCCUACGAUGUCUGACGCACGCGCGCUUAACUGACGGUCAGCGAGUUCCUUGACCGAAGCCAGGUAACCUGGUUUAC
rnacentral:rRNA from 1 species